AUACGGAGGGGGUUAGCGUUGUUCGGAAUUACUGGGCGUAAAGCGCACGUAGGCGGACUGGAAAGUUGGGGGUGAAAUCCCGGGGCUCAACCCCGGAACUGCCUCCGAAACUUCCAAUCUAGAGAUCGAGAGAGGUGAGUGGAAUUCCAAGUGUAGAGGUGAAAUUCGUAGAUAUUUGGAGGAACACCAGUGGCGAAGGCGGCUCACUGGCUCGAUACUGACGCUGAGGUGCGAAAGCGUGGGGAGCAAACAGGAUUAGAAACCCUAGUAGUCC
rnacentral:rRNA from 1 species